rnacentral:rRNA from 1 species
GUGGGGAAUCUUGCGCAAUGGGCGAAAGCCUGACGCAGCCAUGCCGCGUGAAUGAUGAAGGUCUUAGGAUUGUAAAAUUCUUUCACCGGGGACGAUAAUGACGGUACCCGGAGAAGAAGCCCCGGCUAACUUCGUGCCAGCAGCCGCGGUAAUACGAAGGGGGCUAGCGUUGCUCGGAAUUACUGGGCGUAAAGGGCGCGUAGGCGGAUCGUUAAGUCAGGGGUGAAAUCCCAGAGCUCAACUCUGGAACUGCCCUUGAUACUGGCGAUCUUGAGUGUGAGAGAGAUAUGUGGAACUCCGAGUGUAGAGGUGAAAUUCGUAGAUAUUCGGAAGAACACCAGUGGCGAAGGCGACAUACUGGCUCAUUACUGACGCUGAGGCGCGAAAGCGUGGGGAGCAAACAGGAUUAGAAACCCGUGUAGUCC